rnacentral:rRNA from 1 species
CGUGCCAGCAGCCGCGGUAAUACGUAGGGUGCGAGCGUUAAUCGGAAUUACUGGGCGUAAAGCGUGCGCAGGCGGUUUUGUAAGUCGGAUGUGAAAUCCCCGGGCUCAACCUGGGAACUGCGUUCGAAACUGCAAGGCUAGAGUGUGUCAGAGGGGGGUAGAAUUCCACGUGUAGCAGUGAAAUGCGUAGAGAUGUGGAGGAAUACCAAUGGCGAAGGCAGCCCCCUGGGAUAACACUGACGCUCAUGCACGAAAGCGUGGGGAGCAAACAGGAUUAGAUACCCUGGUAGUCCACGCCCUAAACGAUGUCAACUAGUUGUUGGUAGAGUAAAAUCUAUGAGUANACGUAGCUAACGCGUG